GUAAACGCGUUUAGGAAGCCGAAGUGUAUAGAAACGAGAAACGAUUACGAACCAUUGUACAUCUUUUAAUCCUACAAGUGCCAAUGUUGUUACACCCGAAGGCUUACCUCUCCACACCAGUUAUCUUUCCUUUCUCACCGAGAUCCUGCGGAAUCCUUGGAGCCUCGACAGCCAUUCACAGGAUCGCAGAAAACGGUGAGAUUUUGUCAAGAAUCAUACCCGACGAUUGCUGCUGGUUCACUGCUCAAUCCAGAUGUGGAGUAUCCAGAAUUUCUGACAACGUUGUGAAUUGCACGGCUUUUUUGGACUGUUCCCAUCACGCAAGGGAGAAAGAAUGGUUCUGUCAGAAGAACUUGAUGACCCAUCCGUCGGAAGUGGUGCGUUCCAGGGAUAAUUACGAAUCAUUCGCAAACGAACGAAACGAUGAAAAAUACAUAUUGAUCGGUACACCUAGCAGUAGUAAUCGAAGCAAUAUCCCUGGUACCUUGUACGAUAAUAUUGAUAAAGAAGCUUGCAAGCCGGCGACUGUGAAAGUCGAACAGGACGAUUCCCCGAAGUCGUCGAAGCAGGAGGGAGAUGUUUGAUAAAUGAAAUUGCAAGAAGAUUGUUUAAUAUACUUUAAAACUACGUAGGAAUAUAGCGAAUAAGUUACUCGAAUAAUUAUAAUUAAUUUCAUAAUCCUUCGAUGGAUCUCGUUGUCAUAAGAAUUUUUUCCAACACGUUUUGUACAUGAUUUCGGUACAUUUAAAAAAUAUAUGUUCAAAUGAAAGUAUCUACUUAUCUAAGUUUGCAACGCGUUUGAUAAAGUUAAAGGGUUAAUUUGUUCACUGCAUAAAGACAGAAGAAAAGAAAAGGAAAUAUUUGAAAAUACAAGGCGAACCGUGUCGAGGUAUGCCGACUGUUAAUAAAUGGAAUUAAUCGCUUCCGUUUCUGUGUAAGAAUGCAGCGGGUAGAAUGCAAUUUGUAAAUAAAGGAACAAAGAUGAGCCAGGAGAAGGCGGCGUUCUUCAAACGCGAUAAAGGAACAUCGUCGUGGACCUCCCAAUCCGUCAGGUGAGCUACC